rnacentral:tRNA from 1 species
UCCCUGGUGGCUUACAUGGUAAAGCAUCUGUCUGCAACACAGGAGAUCUGGGUUCAAUCCCUGGGUUGGGAA